AACGAACGCUGGCGGCAGGCCUAACACAUGCAAGUCGAGCGCGCCCUUCGGGGUGAGCGGCGGACGGGUGAGUAACGCGUGGGAACGUGCCCUUUUCUACGGAAUAGCCUCGGGAAACUGAGAGUAAUACCGUAUACGCCCUUUGGGGGAAAGAUUUAUCGGAAAAGGAUCGGCCCGCGUUGGAUUAGGUAGUUGGUGGGGUAAUGGCCUACCAAGCCGACGAUCCAUAGCUGGUUUGAGAGGAUGAUCAGCCACACUGGGACUGAGACACGGCCCAGACUCCUACGGGAGGCAGCAGUGGGGAAUCUUAGAAAAUGGGGGCAACCCUGAUCGAGCCAUGCCGCGUGAGUGAUGAAGGCCUUAGGGUUGUAAAGCUCUUUCAGCUGGGAAGAUAAUGACGGUACCAGCAGAAGAAGCCCCGGCUAACUCCGUG
rnacentral:rRNA from 1 species